GAUGAACGCUGGCGGCGUGCCUAAUACAUGCAAGUAGAACGCUGAAGCUUGGUGCUUGCACCGAGCGGAUGAGUUGCAAACGGGUGAGUAACGCGUAGGUAACCUGCCUCUUAGCGGGGGAUAACUAUUGGAAACGAUAGCUAAUACCGCAUAAAAGUUGACAUUGCAUGAUGUUGAUUUGAAAGAUGCAAUUGCAUCACUAAGAGAUGGACCUGCGUUGUAUUAGCUAGUUGGUGAAGUAACGGCUCACCAAGGCGACGAUACAUAGCCGACCUGAGAGGGUGAUCGGCCACACUGGGACUGAGACACGGCCCAGACUCCUACGGGAGGCAGCAGUAGGGAAUCUUCGGCAAUGGACGGAAGUCUGACCGAGCAACGCCGCGUGAGUGAAGAAGGUUGUCGGAUCGUAAAGCUCUGUUGUAAGAGAAGAACGAGUGUGAGAGUGGAAAGUUCACACUGUGACGGUAACUGACCAGAAAGGGACGGCUAACUACGUG
rnacentral:rRNA from 1 species